GUCAAGCGUUAAUCUUCCGCGUUCGCCCAUUGUUCGGUCCAAGGAACUGGACAGGACGGCAUUGAGUAGUGAGCACCUUCUAGUGUAUGCCAAGGACUUUGCCAGAUUCUCAGAAGACGUGCACGAAGACAUGAGUUCUUGUCCCCCAAAAGUUAUGUAAAUUGGUAUUAUACAGAGCUCUGAGCAGUGUUUCGCAGAGAUGCAUAAGGAAACAGCCAACAACUUUUGUCUGUUUAUACCAAAAUACUUCCCCACCU